rnacentral:rRNA from 1 species
UACGUAGGGUGCGAGCGUUGUCCGGAAUUAUUGGCGUAAAGGGCUCGUAGGCGGUUUGUCGCGUCGGGAGUGAAAUCCACUGGCUUAACUGGUGGCUUGCUUUCGAUACGGGCAGACUGGAGGUGAUGCAGGGGAGAACGGAAUUCCUGGUGUAGCGGUGAAAUGCGCAGAUAUCAGGAGGAACACCGGUGGCGAAGGCGGUUCUCUGGGCAUGUCCUGACGCUGAGAAGCGAAAGCAUGGGGAGCGAACAGG